GGCGUCACUUUGUACCAAAUUUAUUUGGUGGUUAUACGUAAUACUAUGAAUGAAAAGGCAUAACUAACAAUAAUCCAUUGAAAUGUUUGUGUAAUCUUUUAAUAAAUUGGCAUUUUGGGUGGUUUCCAUGUUAUAUGCUGACUGAAUGAGACAGCCUCAGUGAGACUAUAAUGGCAAUAUCUCUAAUUUUAUACAGUAAAUCUUCUUCAAACUUGCUGUUAUAUUAGUGAACAUCAUUAACAACAAUAAUCCACUGAAAGUUUUGUGUAAUCUUGGACAGAAGCCACUUUAGAAUGAAUUGACAUGACUGGAUCAGAUGUGUCAUUUUACGUGGAGAAUCUUUAUUUCUGUUUCAUUCCAUGCCGUGCUCAACAACACACAAAACACUUGUUAGUGUUCAAACUCACCUUUAGAAUCUGUCUGAUUGCAUAAUUUCAAACAAACACAUUCUUCUUGGUAGUUGAUUAUAGAAUGGUCAGACAUGCAAUAAAGGAAUAAAUCUGUACAUCAAAAGACAAUCUAGAGCUGCAAUAUCUCUCAUUGAUUUCUGAGCACAGUACAUGUUAUUUGAUGAGUAACUGACAUGGGUGAUAUUAGCGCUUUAUACCGUCUUUUCAGCUCGCUGGCGGUGUGCACCGUAAACUAUGAUGUAAACUAUGAUGUAAACCCGCAUGCAAAAAGUCAGUGACGGCUAGCGAGACCGCACUUCCACAGAUGUCGGCUCACCUGACCGCGGUUUAUAAACGCCUGCCGACCCGUGGGUAUUUCCACUGAAGAUCAGUUCCAACGUAUUUAGUACUUUUUAGGUUUUAUGUUCAAUUUUCAGUGUUUAAUAAUCUAAUAUAGGACACAUGUUAAAUUUGUGUAUAAAUUUCUUCAAAUAAUCUAUAAGUGUGUGGCAGCCAGUAUGAAUAUAUUUGCAGGAACACAGAUUUUAAAAUGGCUGCUUGGCCUCCUGUUCGCUUUAGGAUUGAUGUUAAAGUUUUUAUUAGUUUAUAAAUGUUUGUAUGGUCUUGGGCCUUCAUAUUUAUCUGAUAUUUUAAAGUAUGAUCCCCUCUGGACCCUGAGGUCCUCUGAUACAGGCCUUUUGGUUAUCCCAAAAGUUAAAACACACUGAAAGGCCUCAUUCAGUUUUAAUGGACCUCCUCUAUGGAUUAGCCUCCCAGAGAGCAUUUACCAUUUUAUGUCUAUUAAAGUUUAUGUAUUUGUUUUAAAUAAAUGUUAAUUUUUUUUAUUCCUUUUACAUUUUAUUUGUAACUCCAGAGUUUUGCUCUGAGGGAUCUUCCACACCAGUGGCUGACCAUUUCUGGACAACAGAGAGGAGCUGUUUGCUGGUUUUUCCAGAGAGCCUUUUGUUUUGUAAGCCAGUUAAGAGUUUGGUAAAGAUGCCACGAAAGAAGGGAUUUAAUAUGCGUCGCACCAAAGUGUGUAAGGUUCAAGAAGAAGGUAAAACUUCUGGUUGUGUGUGUCAGGAGCAAAUACAGAAGCCUUUGAUUUCUGGAAUGAAAGUAAGAUUAACACAUUCAAGUGAUAGUACAACAUCUCUUACAUGUUGUGUUGUGGCUGCAAUCAACCAUGUUGUUGCUCCAGUGUGUACAUGGAGGGACGCUGAUGUUGACAAUAUUAGAAAUGAAGGUGUGCAGUUGGUUUGUUCAUUUAAUGGAAGUGAUGGAUGUGUGAACAAUUCCGAAAAGUUAUUCAAGGUUUCUGAAAAGCUCAGUGUGUUUGGAAGAAUUUGGGAUGUUGCUAUCAAUGAGCCUGUGUAUUCUGGUGAUUCAAAGAGUGAAGAUUUUUCACUGGUAUGAAAUGAUGCAGGAGCGACUGAUGGAGGAAGAUCUGUGUUUGUUGGAUUUGCAGGGUUUCGUUUGUGCUGUCAUUCAUCACAAAGAGUAUUUUGUUGUGGUCGAUUGUGGUGCACGAGAUUCAUCUGGAAUGUUUUCUAAUAUUGGAACAUCUGUGGCUGUUUUCAACAGUUGCUUUAAUGACUUGAUGUUGCACAUUUGGAACUUGAAAAAGUCUUUGAAUGCAGAAUGGUUUGGCAUCAGUUCAAUGUUUGUGAAAGAAGCUUCUUGGGAUGGGUGUAAUAAUACAUUUGGUUUGGGAGCAGAGGAUGCACGUGUGAAUCAGUCAGUUUUGGGCAAAAGACAGACUGGUUUUAUAAAAGAACAUGUUCAGGAGUUAAAUGACAAAGUUGUGGUUGGCGAACAAUGUAAAGUGUUAAUGGAACGCAAAAAUUCAUUGAAAAUUGGAAAAAAAUGCAUUAAUUUAAAAAAAAAAUCAUCUUCAGUGAUUUUAAAUGAAAACAAUUGUAACAGAUUUGACACAGAACGUUGUGUAAGGGGAUCUUUUCAUCAAGGAGAUCGGCAGCUUCAAAACAGAGGUGUGCAGUGCAUGGCAAUAGCCCUGGUGAGUAUGGCUAAACACACGGAUCGUAGUGUUUUUGAGUGGGAGGCAACAGACUUGGACCAUGUUGUGUUUCUUGGUGAUCAGCUUUACUCCUCGGUGUGUGAAAACAAAAUCAUCCCUGGAAAUUUGAAGUUUUUGUCAGUACCUGAUUUGCCCAUGGAUUCUGAAAUUGAUGGUAAAUUAUUUAAGUUUGAGUAUGGUGAAUACGUUUCUGGGAUUGUUAAUGUGAGUAAUGGUAAAUUUGUUGACAGUGGUGAAGUGAUAACUCUUAAAAAGGGACUGGAGCACAUGCUUGUCAAGUAUAAAACAUGUUUUUUGACCAUAGGCAGUAGUACUUGUGCUGUUAUUUCAGAAAACGGCCAUUAUGCUGUGGUGGAUUCACAUGCACGCAGUGGUACUGGAAUGGCAGAUGUAAAUGGAAGAAGUAUUAUCAUGUACCUUCCUAGUCUUAAUGAUUUAUACAAUUAUAUUUGUUGCUUGAGUAUUUCACUUGCAGGGAAAGAAAUGGCUUUUGAAAUUGCAUCCGUUGCUGUUACUGACAAUGAUCAUAGUGAGAAAAAUAAACAAAGUGUGCUUGAGAAGGAUUGUAAAACUGGAUUAAAUACUGGGUCACAGUUUGGUUUCGGGUGCAGUUUAGAUGUUCAAACUAGUCCCUUACCGUUGCAUGAAAGUAACAGAAAGCGUAAGCUUUCUACUGUGCAACGUGAAUCAAAGAAGACAAAAUGGUAUGAUGCUAAUGAAGCUAGUUUGGAUGUUGAGUUUCUUGGUGAUGUUUCAUCAAAGAAACUUGAGUUUUACCCUGUUGAUUUUGAUGUUACACAAGCAUUGUGUAAACAACUGAAUGUGCAUUGUGAAAACACUGCUUGUUCUAACCCUCUAGAGGUUGAUAUGUUGGGAAUUCCAUGUCAAACUGAUCAUAUAGUAGCCGAUGGCAAUUGUUUUUUUAGGGCUGUGUCCAAAGUUAUUAGUGGUACAGAGAAAAAUCACAUAAAGUUAAGACGUGCAGUUGUCACACAUUUACAAAAGAAUGUUGGAAAUUAUAGUUCUCUUUUGAGAUCUGAAAAUAUGUCUGUGGAUGAAUAUCUCAAUGUUUCUAGAAUGAGAUUUUCUGGUAGUUGGGCUACAGAGGUUGAAAUUCAAGCUACAGCUGACUACUUGGGUGUGAGUGUGUAUACAUUUCACAAUGAACGUUGGUUGAAAUAUGCCUGUCAACGUAAGGCCAUAUCUAAACAAGGCAUAUAUUUGCAAAAUAUAAAUGAGUGUCAUUAUGAAGUUGUAACUUGCGUUGAAAUUUUUCAGCAGCAGCGUUGUUUUGGGUUGUGUAAAUCUAUGGAAAAAAAUAAUUUGGGUCAUAAUAUGAGGCAACGCAAAAGAGACUCAGAAAUGCUGUCAGAAGGAGAUUGCAAGAGUGUUAAACAUGGCAGGUCUGAAGUUGGUGAUUGUAAUGAAGUUUUGUUUAGUGCAUUGGUUAACAAUGAUCACCAAAACAGUGAAAUCUAUCAAAGUAACAAUUUAGUUGAAAAUGCUUUCAGUUUUUAUCCAUUGUCGUUUGAGAGUGCAGUUUUGUUGUCAAAACAUAUUGAUUUAGAUUUUGUGAAGCAGUAUGAAGACAUUCCAACUAAUAAUGUAACGCUUGGUUCUAUUUGUAAGACAGAGGUCACAUUAAAUGAUGGCAAUAGUUUUUUUCGUGCUAUUUCUCGAGUCAUUAGUGGAUCUGAAAAUUGUCAUAGAAGAGUUCGACUGGCUGUUGUUAAGUUUAUGCUAAAGAACAGUGACAUUCAUAUGAAGUUGCUGGAGAAAGGCUAUGGAACAGUGUCUGAGUACAUUCAGAAGUCACGUAUGAAAUAUGUUGGCAGUUUUGUAUCUGAGAUUGACAUUCAAGCUACUUCAAAUGUUUUGGGAGUAGAAAUUUUUGUACACAAUGGUAGCAUAUGGAGAAAGUAUAAGCCUGUAAAUAGAAUAUUUGGAAAUCAAGGAAUUUAUUUGCGAGAAUGUGAUAAGAAAUAUUAUGAGGUUGUUGUCUGUGUUCAUUGUAGUGGUGAAGCUGGAUGUGCCAAUUGGUGUAAAAGCAAUAGUAUUUGUUCUGACACACCACUGCUAAGAUGCCGUUCUUUUCAACCACAUAAUGUUAGUUGUGAUUCAGUUGGUGAAUCUUCUUUUUCUAAGUAUCUAAAAAAAAAGAGAUCCUUUUACCACAAAAUGCAUUAUCAAAUAAUUGAACAGCAUAAACAAAAGAAAAAAGAUAUGAGUAAAAGGAAAUAUGAAUCUGAUUCUUUGCAUAGAUCCAGAGCAUUGGAAUUGAGUAAAAAUAAGUAUAAGAAAAAUGCUAUCUAUAGAACGUGUGUUAAAGAACGUAGUGCUGCAAAAUACAGAACUGAUCCUUUACACAGAGAUAAAAAAAAAAAUGGAAGUAAAAACAAGUAUAAAUUGGAUUUGUUACACAAAUGUAAUGUUAAGGAAAUGAGUAAAAGAAAAUAUCAGAGUAAUGUUACUCACAGAGAAAAUGUUAAAGCCCUGAGUUCCAGAAAAUAUCACAGUAAUGUUACUCAUAGAGAAAAUGUUAAAGCACUGAGUUCUAGAAAAUAUCACAGUAAUGUUACUCAUAGAGAAAAUGUUAAAGCACUGAGUUCUAGAAAAUAUCACAGUAAUGUUACUCAUAGAGAAAAUGUUAAAGCACUGAGUUCUAGAAAAUAUCACAGUAAUGUUACUCAUAGAGAAAAUGUUAAAGCACUGAGUUCUAGAAAAUAUCACAGUAAUGUUACUCAUAGAGAAAAUGUUAAAGCACUGAGUUCUAGAAAAUAUCACAGUAAUGUUACUCAUAGAGAAAAUGUUAAAGCACUGAGUUCUAGAAAAUAUCACAGUAAUGUUACUCAUAGAGAAAAUGUUAAAGCACUGAGUUCUAGAAAAUAUCAUCAAGAUCCUCACUUUAGGAAAAGUGUGUUGGAUGGGAAUAAAUUGAAGCGACAAUUGAAUAAAGAACGGUUAGAAGAGUUUGAUGUUGUGAUGAAACAAUUUUUGGAUAAAGUUAAGGAUGGACCCGGGUUUGUUUGUUGUGUAUGUCAUAGGUUGUUAUUUGAACAUCAAGUAUUACAUUGUAGAAAAGAGUCCUACAGUAAUGCAGGACUUGAACUUAUUGCUGAUCAAUGUAUCACUUCUGAUUAUUUGCAUACCUGUAAUGCUAACUGCUCAAAAAAUUGUGAAUGGAUGAAAACACCAAGAAGCAAGUUGUGGAUUUGUUACACGUGUCAUGCUAAAAUAAAAAAAGGUCAAGUACCAGCUGAAAGUGUUAAAAAUAACUUAGAACUUGAACCUAUACCAGCAGAAUUGGCAUGUUUAAAUCAAUUAGAACAACAUCUAAUAGCGUUACAUAUUCCAUUUAUGAAACUGUUAGCAUUGCCCAAAGGUGGGCAGAAUGGUGUGCAUGGACCUAUUACUUGUGUUCCUGCAAAUACUGAACAAACCAGUUUUUUGUUACCACGCAUGUCUAUUGAGGGUUCUCUUGUGCCUGUGAAAUUAAAACGGAAGCUUACUUAUAAAGGACAUUAUGAAUAUCAGUAUGUUGAUACGGAACGUGUUAAGCAGGCUUUACAGUUUUUACAAAGCCAUAAUUCUUAUUAUAACAACGUGAAAUUUAAUAAUGAUUGGAUUAAUGGUUUUUGUAAAGAAAAAUCUGAUGUGUAGAAAAAAAUGUUGAAUGCACUGCAGAUGUUGACGUUUCAAAUGUUUUAGGAGAUGAACUUCUGCAUGAUAGACAGCAGCAUUGCAUGU